rnacentral:rRNA from 1 species
GAUGAACGCUGGCGGCGUGCUUAACACAUGCAAGUCGAGCGAAGCACUUUUGCGGAUUUCUUCGGAUUGAAGCAACUGUGACUGAGCGGGCGACGGGUGAAGGUACGCGUGGUAACCUGCCUCAUACAGGGGGAUAACAGUUGGAAACGGCUGCUAAUACCGCAUAAGCGCACAGUACCGCAUGGUACCGUGUGAAAAACUCCGGUGGUAUGAGAUGGACCCGCGUCUGAUUAGCUAGUUGGUGGGGUAACGGCCUACCAAGGCGACGAUCAGUAGCCGACCUGAGAGGGUGACCGGCCACAUUGGGACUGAGACACGGCCCAA